UACGGGGGGGGCAAGCGUUGUUCGGAAUUACUGGGCGUAAAGGGCUCGUAGGCGGCCAACUAAGUCAGACGUGAAAUCCCUCGGCUUAACCGGGGAACUGCGUCUGAUACUGGAUGGCUUAGUGUGGGAGAGGGAUGCGGAAUUCCAGGUGUAGCGGUGAAAUGCGUAGAUAUCAGGAGGAACACCUAUUGCGAAGGCAGCUCGCUGGGACGUUACUGACGCUGAGACGCGAAAGCGUGGGGAGCAAACAGG
rnacentral:rRNA from 1 species